UGUCCCUCAGCUACUCUAUCUUCCUCCAUCUUCUUGAUUCUCUCACAGUACACCUGUUUAUUCUCUAACCAUCUUCACUCUUUUUCCCUUUUCCUCGGGCUAAACUCAAACAUCAUUGCGAGAGAAGAAAACAAACCCGGCGUCUGACUGCUGCAUGGUGCUCUCGAAUUGGACUGGUGGUCUACAGCUGUCCUUUUUGUCAUUUCGGUAUGGAAAUCAGCCCAUGCAGCAAAUGCAAACUUGGAACAAGUGACGUUAAUCCACCUUGUGCCGUCAUGACUGAUACUAACCAGCCAAUCAGAAAAGGCCUCUAGGUGGGGCUUUAUGUUGCAUGCGUCAGUGCAUUGUGAAAGAAUAAAGGUAUCCUGUCGUCGACCCUGCCCACGCGCAGAGCUAGAUUGCCCGCUGCAGGCAGAGCGCGGGAAGACAAGGCGCGGGAAGCGCGCGCGGUAGAAUUCUCCUCAGCCGUCUUCGCUGCAGAUAAAACCAAACUAAAUUUAUACAGAGGAAAAGUAAAUAGACUUAUUAGAUUGUUUCGUUUGUGAUUUCGCCGCGUUAAGCCGAGGAACCGCGGACUCGCAUUUCAACGAACGAAGUGACAUUUUC